AGAAAACAUGGCGAAUGUAAUGCAUCUGAAAUGUAUUCAUACUGCACAAACACAUACUAUAUAGAAUGUAAUGUUUUAACAGUUAGUUAGUCUAAAUUAGUUCAUUCUGUAACAGUAUGCGGAAAUCUCAGAUGCAGGUAUAGAGCUUAAUUCAGAUCUUUGGAUAUUGGCUGAAAUGUGUUUUGCUGACAUUAGGUACCUUUGGAUAUCAAGCCCCACUGGUCCAGGCAAGUGAUUUUGGGCGAUCCAGCUACCAUGUCACCAAAGAACAACUGAGAUUCCUACUCUCAUAUGGAUUUGCAGCUUCCCAAAUGGCUGAAGUCUUGGAAGUAUCAGUCAGUACAGUCAAACGGAGACUGAGGCGGUUCCACUUAUCUGAAAGCAUGAGGUAUGCACACCUUUCGGAGGCCGAAGUCGUUCGUCAGUUGGUUGGAGAGAACAAAUAGGAUCUAAUGCUGUUCGGGCCAGAAUGGCUACUAUGGGUGUACGAGUUCAGCGGAGGAGAGUGAGGGAGAGUUUGAUCCGAGUGAACCCAGCCGGAGCUGCACACAGAGCACUAUCUCAUCAACUACACCGGAGAACCUACCUAACUUUUCUCUCUGUGGCACAUAUAUGGGAACCACAAGCUGAUCAGGUGGAGAAUAGUGAUCCAUGGGGGGAUCUGUGGCUUCAGCAGACUGGUUGUAUUUUUGCAAGCUUCUGACAACAACAGGGCUGGCACAGUGUUUGACCAGUUUGUUCAAGCCACAGCUAGGUAUGGUGUUCCAUCUCGAGUUAGAUGAGACCACGGAGGAGAAAACAAUACAGUUUGUUUGUUUAUGAAUAUCUAUCAUGGAUCUGAAAGACGAAGUGCCAUCCGUGGUAGAAGUGUGCACAACCAGAGGAUCGAGAGACUUUGGGGAGAUCUUUGGCGGGGUAUGACUAAUGUGUACCACCAGCUUUUCUCCUUUCUUGAGAGUGAUGGAGUCAUUGACUGUACCAACGAGCGACACAUGUGGCCACUCCAUGAUGUGUACAUUCCCCGGAUUAACCGGGAAUUGGAGGUUUUCAGGGAACAGUGGAACAAUCAUGGUUUGCAACAAUUGCAGGAUGUGGACAUUCUUGCAGGACCUAUUGGUAGUCUAGCUAUUGAUGCACUGCAAACCGUAAUUAAUAUUCUGCAACAGUUGCUUCUUGUCGAUUGUUUCUAUUGUAAUAAGGAUGUUCAACUAUUAUUUGUUGAUUAUAUGUGUGUGU